UUGGGAAUCUUGGACAAUGGGCGAAAGUCUGACGGAGCAACGCCGCGUGGGUGAANAAGGUUUUCGGAUCGUAAAGCUCUGUCUUCAGGGACNAAUGUGCUCUUUGUGAAUAAUGAGGAGCAAUGACGGUACCUGAGGAGNAAGCCACGGCUAACUACGUG
rnacentral:rRNA from 1 species